UACGUAGGGUGCAAGCGUUGUCCGGAAUUAUUGGGCGUAAAGAGCUCGUAGGCGGUUUGUCGCGUCUGCUGGUGAAAACCCGAGGCUCAACCUCGGGCCUGCAGUGGGUACGGGCAGACUAGAGGUGCGGUAGGGGAGAUUGGAAUUCCUGGUGUAGCGGUGGAAUGCGCAGAUAUCAGGAGGAACACCGAUGGCGAAGGC
rnacentral:rRNA from 1 species